rnacentral:misc_RNA from 1 species
GAAAUGCGAUAAGUAAUGUGAAUUGCAGAAUUCAGUGAAUCAUCGAAUCUUUGAACGCACAUUGCGCCCGCCAGUAUUCUGGCGGGCAUGCCUGUUCGAGCGUCAUUACAACCCUCAGGCCCCCGGGCCUGGCGUUGGGGAUCGGCGGAAGCCCCCUGCGGGCACAACGCCGUCCCCCAAAUACAGUGGCGGUCCCGCCGCAGCUUCCAUUGCGUGUAGCUAACACCUCGCAACUGGAGAGCGGCGCGGCCACGCCGUAAAACACCCAACUUCUGAAUGUUGACCUCGAAUCAGGUAGGAAUACCCGCUGAACUUAAGC